rnacentral:rRNA from 1 species
CCUACGGGUGGCAGCAGUGGGGAAUAUUGCUCAAUGGGGGAAACCCUGAUGCAGCCACGCCGCGUGAGUGAUGAAGUAUCUCUGUAUUUUAAGCUCUAUCUGUAGGGAAGAAAAUGACAGUACCUGACUGAUAAUCUCCGGCUAACUACGUGCCAGCUGCCGCGGUAAUACGGAGGGGGCAACCGUUAUCCGGAUUUACUGGGUGUAAAGGGGGCGUAGACGGCUGCGCAAGUCAGAAGUGAAAUCCCGGGGCUCAACCGCGGGAUUGCAUUUGAAACUGUAUAGCUAGAGUGCAGGAGAGGUAAGUGGAAUUCCUGGUGUAGCGGUGAAAUGCGUAGAUAUUAGGAGGAACACCGGUGGCGAAGGCGGCUUACUGGACUGUAACUGACGUUGAGGCUCGAAAGUGUGGGGAGCAAACAGGAUUAGAUACCCUUGUAGUC